UUGAACGCUGGCGGCAUGCCUUACACAUGCAAGUCGAACGGUAACGGGUUAAGCCGACGAGUGGCGAACGGGUGAGUAAUAUAUCGGAACGUGCCCAAUCGUGGGGGAUAACGCAGCGAAAGUUGUGCUAAUACCGCAUAAGAUCUACGGAUGAAAGCGGGGGAUCGCAAGACCUCGCGCGAGUGGAGCGGCCGAUAUCAGAUUAGCUAGUUGGUGGGGUAAAGGCCCACCAAGGCGACGAUCUGUAGCUGGUCUGAGAGGACGACCAGCCACACUGGGACUGAGACACGGCCCAGACUCCUACGGGAGGCAGCAGUGGGGAAUUUUGGACAAUGGGCGCAAGCCUGAUCCAGCAAUGCCGCGUGCAGGAUGAAGGCCUUCGGGUUGUAAACUGCUUUUGUACGGAGCGAAAAGGUCUGCCCUAAUACGGUGGGCUCAUGACGGUACCGUAAGAAUAAGCACCGGCUAACUACGU
rnacentral:rRNA from 1 species